UACGUAGGGCGCAAGCGUUAUCCGGAAUUACUGGGCGUAAAGAGCUCGUAGGUGGUUUGUCGCGUUGUCCGUGAAAACUCACAGCUCAACUGUGGGCGUGCGGGCGAGUACGGGCAGACUGGAGUACUGCAGGGGAGACUGGAAUUCCUGGUGUAGCGGUGGAAUGCGGCCAGAUAUCAGGAGGAACACCGGUGGCGAAGGCGGGUCUCUGGGCAGUAACUGACGCUGAGGAGCGAAAGCGUGGGGAGCGAACAGG
rnacentral:rRNA from 1 species